GACGAACGCUGGCGGCGUGCCUAAUACAUGCAAGUAGAACGAGUUGCGAACGUGAGAUUAACGCGUUGUCACCUACCUAUGAGAGGGGGAUAACUACUGUAAACGAUAGCUAAUACCGUAUCCUAGUAGAUUUACCUGCUUUGUAUUAGCUAGUAGGUCGGGUAAUGGCCUACCUAGGCGACGAUACAUAGCCGACCUGAGAGGGUGAUCGGCCACACUGGAACUGAGACACGGUCCAGACUCCUACGGGAGGCAGCAGUGGGGAAUAUUGCACAAUGGGCGCAAGCCUGAUGCAGCCAUGCCGCGUGUAUGAAGAAGGCCUUCGGGUUGUAAAGUACUUUCAGCGGGGAGGCGUUACCCGCAGAAGAAGCACCGGCUAACUCCGUGCCAGCAGCCGCGGUAAUAC
rnacentral:rRNA from 1 species